rnacentral:rRNA from 1 species
GAUGAACGCUGGCGGCGUGCCUAAUACAUGCAAGUCGAGCGAACGGACGAGAAGCUUGCUUCUCUGAUGUUAGCGGCGGACGGGUGAGUAACACGUGGAUAACCUACCUAUAAGACUGGGAUAACUUCGGGAAACCGGAGCUAAUACCGGAUGAUAUUUUGAACCGCAUGGUUCAAAAGUGAAAGACGGUCUUGCUGUCACUUAUAGAUGGAUCCGCGCUGCAUUAGCUAGUUGGUAAGGUAACGGCUUACCAAGGCAACGAUGCAUAGCCGACCUGAGAGGGUGAUCGGCCACACGGGAACUGAGACACGGUCCAGACUCCUACGGGAGGCAGCAGUAGGGAAUCUUCCGCAAUGGGCGAAAGCCUGACGGAGCAACCCCGCGUGAGUGAUGAAGGUCUUCGGAUCGUAAUACUCUGUUAUUAGGGAAGAACAUAUGUGUAAGUAACUGUGCACAUCUUGACGGUACCUAAUCAGAAAGCCACGGCUAACUACGUG